AUUGAACGCUGGCGGCAUGCCUUACACAUGCAAGUCGAACGGCAGCACGGGUGCUUGCACCUGGUGGCGAGUGGCGAACGGGUGAGUAAUACAUCGGAACAUGUCCUGUAGUGGGGGAUAGCCCGGCGAAAGCCGGAUUAAUACCGCAUACGAUCUACGGAUGACAGCGGGGGACCUUCGGGCCUCGCGCUAUAGGGUUGGCCGAUGGCUGAUUAGCUAGUUGGGGGGGUAAAGGCCUACCAAGGCGACGAUCAGUAGCUGGUCUGAGAGGACGACCAGCCACACUGGGACUGGGCCACGGCCCAGACUCCUACGGGAGGCAGCAGUGGGGAAUUUUGGACAAUGGGCGAAAGCCUGAUCCAGCAAUGCCGCGUGUGUGAAGAAGGCCUUCGGGUUGUAAAGCACUUUUGUCCGGAAAGAAAUCCUUGGCCCUAAUACGGUCGGGGGAUGACGGUACCGGAAGAAUAAGCACCGGCUAACUACGUG
rnacentral:rRNA from 1 species